CACAGAGGAUGCUGCCUUUUUCGAUACGAACGGCGAGGUGACCAGAAGAGUGCUGAAUUAUAAAAUUCCAAAAUGAAGUUAAAAGAUAGCUAUAGGCCACAAUUCUGGCAACUAAAGUCAUCUCUACGUUAAUCAUGUUAAAUAUAAAAUAAAACUGGAGAAGUCGUCGCAUUCAUGAACACUUAAAAUCCCAAAACUGGGUCCUUAGGUUGACCUGACAACGAUUUCGAGGGAUGAGCUCCGGCCGGCAUCUGGUGUCCGAGCUGGUCAUCCACGUCACCACUUAACCCUGGACCUGCUUCCUGGAGGCAUCGGCGUCUGCGUAGUGGAUUCCGUAUGUGUAAUAAAUAAAGAGUGUUCGCAAGUGCUUUAGGAACAAUCCAGGUUAGUUAAAAACUUAAUUUGAACUUUAACUCAACGUCAGUGGACAAUAAAAGUGUAGCUGUGUGACCCAGUGUGAAUAAAGACUUUCUCCAGAAUUUCUACUUCUUUUCAUUUACAUUACAACCCAGUAAAGGCGCCCUGAGGUUAAAUAUUAACAGUUUCAUGCCUACGUUGUUGCGACCCGGUGAAGUACCAGUGGAGCUGAUUUCAACUGUUACAAAGUGGCUGCCCACCGUUUGGCCUUAAAAACUGUGUUGUAAUGAUAAAUGAUUAACUACAAAUAUUGGACUCAAGUGUUAAAAUAACGCGCUUAAAUUUAAUAGUGAGAGGUUAGCCACGUGGAAGGAACUGUAACUCGUCUUGAUUUGAAACAAAGUACUACUGCUGUAUAAUAAGUAUAGUAACAAUAUAAUAGUUUCAGGUAUAUAAGGUAAUUAUUUUCUACAUUUUUAACUGUUUAAAUACUUAAUCUCAACUUAACUUUCUUUUCCUUACAUACCUUUGACUAAGAAACAACUGUAUUAGAUUUAAUAUAAAAUGUCUAUCCAAAAGUAUAUUGACUGUUUGCAUAAAGAUGAAUUGGUGUAUGAACUUGGUGUUCUUGGUGUAUCCACAGAUAGUGAUGUGAACGUGGAUGCCUUGAGGAAGCAGAUCCGCCAAGUCUUCAAACUAGCCAGAAGGGGGAGCAUGAAAGGUGAACCGGCUGGAACGCCAGAUGCAGCGUCGGAGCUCAAACUCUGCACACAGAAGGUCACGCGUUUAGAAUCAGAGCUUCCGGAACCCAGCAAGGUAGGUGACCGAAGACUUCUUGUAAAGCUGUCACGACGUGCUAACUACCUCAUAGAUAGGUUGGCUAGGAAUGCAGUAAACCUUGGGAAUCCAUAUGUGUAGAUUUACUUGGCCCUUUCCACCCUCAAAAAAAGGAAAUACCUACUUAAUAGUUUGUACCGACUACUUUAGCAAGUAUGUCAUGUUGCAUCCUAUAAGGAAAGCAACAGGCGUUUCUGUAGCUCAGUAUAUAGAAGAUAAAAUAUUUCUAGUUCAUGGUGCUUGUAAAACUAUUUACUUUGACAAUGGCCCACAAUUUGUAAGUUCUCAAUUUAGACAAUUGCUACACCGUUACGAAGUUCCUAAUAUAUACGCGAAUCCUAGAUACCAUGCUCAGGUAAACGCGGCCGAAAGAGCGAUAAGGAAUGUGGUAUGUGGUAUCGCAUGUUAUGUAGGUAACGAUCAUAGACGAUGGGAUGAAAACAUAACUAAAUUACAAUGUGCACUUAAUACCGCAGCAAACGAAACCACAAAACACACACCUUAUUUUCUCGUUCACGGCAGACAGUUCAUUAGUAAAGGUAAUUUACAUCACUUAAACUAUGAACAGCCCAUCCUUAGGUCAGAAGUUACAGUGGGAGAUCCUGAUGCGUAUGGUAAAAGCUUAAAGGAAUUAGAAACCAUAUUUAAAAAAGUACAAAAGUAUAUACAAGAAUCCCAUGACAAAAACUCUAGGCAUUACAAUCUUAGAAAACGCCAUGUUGAGUACAAGAUAGGUCAAAUAGUUUACAAACGUACUCACUACUUAUCUAGUGCACCAAAAAAUUUUACGGCUAAAUUAGCACCUAAAUUUCAAAAAUGUGUGAUCACUGCAAAAUUAUCACCACUAGUUUACACUUUAAAAACACUGGAUGGUAAAAAUCUGGGAGAUUAUCACGUCAAAGAUAUUCUGAAACAAGAUGACAUCCCAUAAGUAGAAUAUAAUAAUAGAUGCAGACUGAAAGAUAUGAUGUAUGAAUGUGUUUUCCAAAUUAAUCACUAGUGAACCCUUUGGUAAAUAGUAAGCUGUGACAGAGAUAAGAAUGGAAUGCAAUCUGUUAUUAUGGACUACAGCUGAUUCAGUUAGCUUAAGACGUAAACAUGCCACAUCUGUGUGCAUAUAACUAGACAUAUUUGUUUAUGCAGAACCUUUGAAGUAAUAGUACCAGAAAUGGAGUGAGUAGGUACUUUACGAUAAUUCUUAACUUAAAAAUAGGUACCGAUAAGGUUACCAAAACUUAAUACUUAAUUAAAAAACACGUGUUACCCUUAAUUAAUACUUUAAUUUAUUGGAUCCAAUUUUACUUAACGAAGAAAUUAAUCUCGGUAAAUACUUAUACACAAUGCUAGGAUGUGUAAGUAAGGUAAGGCUUGUUUCCUUAUAUUGACCGUCGAGUGUAGUUUCUGUACCUAACCCUUGGUAGGUACACAACUAUAGAGUUUUAUGAGCCCAACCACUCAAAAUGGGUUGGUACUCGUCAUAGAUAAAUAAAUAAGUAUUUAUUAAAAUUAGUAGAUUAGAAUAAAUACUGUUCUUAAAUAUUUAGAUAACGAAAAUAAAUAUUAGUGAUAGGUAUCGCGUUCAGGCGGGUGGUAUCGCAUGUUCACUGUCUGCCGAACACGCCAUUAGGUUACAAUAAGUUUAGACUUUUAGCGGUAAUGUUAGAAAUAAAUAAAUACAUAGAAAAUAGCUAAAAUAAAUAUAAAUAUAUAGGUAUAAACAACAAUUUAAGUAAAAAGUUUAUUCAUUACGAAAAACUUUUUAAUCCAAGUUGAACGGAUGUGUAACAUAAAUAUUACAAUCUUUAAGAUAAAUACAUAAAUUAAAUAAAUAUAAAGAAAUUUAGUUAUUGAUAACAACGCCCUCUCUGUGUGCUUCACAAAACGGUUAGGCUCACCUAUGAACCCAACUCGUGCGCAAGCGAAUUUAGCGAAUUAGAUAAGUAAUUAGUUCAGAUGUAAUCCGCAACCGUGAUAGGGGCGCAUCACAGAGGAUGCUGCCUUUUUCGAUACGAACGGCGAGGUGACCAGAAGAGUGCUGAAUUAUAAAAUUCCAAAAUGAAGUUAAAAGAUAGCUAUAGGCCACAAUUCUGGCAACUAAAGUCAUCUCUACGUUAAUCAUGUUAAAUAUAAAAUAAAACUGGAGAAGUCGUCGCAUUCAUGAACACUUAAAAUCCCAAAACUGGGUCCUUAGGUUGACCUGACAACGAUUUCGAGGGAUGAGCUCCGGCCGGCAUCUGGUGUCCGAGCUGGUCAUCCACGUCACCACUUAACCCUGGACCUGCUUCCUGGAGGCAUCGGCGUCUGCGUAGUGGAUUCCGUAUGUGUAAUAAAUAAAGAGUGUUCGCAAGUGCUUUAGGAACAAUCCAGGUUAGUUAAAAACUUAAUUUGAACUUUAACUCAACGUCAGUGGACAAUAAAAGUGUAGCUGUGUGACCCAGUGUGAAUAAAGACUUUCUCCAGAAUUUCUACUUCUUUUCAUUUACAUUACAACCCAGUAAAGGCGCCCUGAGGUUAAAUAUUAACAGUUUCAUGCCUACGUUGUUGCGACCCGGUGAAGUACCAGUGGAGCUGAUUUCAACUGUUACAUACUCUCAAUACUCUUUUUUU